rnacentral:rRNA from 1 species
UACGGAGGGUGCGAGCGUUGUCCGGAAUCAUUGGGCGUAAAGGGCGCGUAGGUGGCCCGGUCAGUUCGUGGUGAAAGCGCGGGGCUCAACUCCGCGUCGGCCAUGAAUACUGCUGGGCUUGAGCACUGUAGAGGCAGGCGGAAUUCCGGGUGUAGUGGUGGAAUGCGUAGAGAUCCGGAAGAACACCGGUGGCGAAGGCGGCCUGCUGGGCAGUGGCUGACACUGAGGCGCGACAGCGUGGGGAGCAAACAGG